CAGGGAGACAACAAAAUGUUAAAUAUUAAUUUUGUCACCUUAGGUCGAUCGGUAUCUCACAUUCUUAAUUUAUUAAGAUUUUUAUUUCCUAAGUUUUUUCUAGGUCACACCCAUUAUUUUCCCUGGGCCAUUAGCUCAGGUGGUUAGAGCGCACCCCUGAUAAGGGUGAGGUCCCUGGUUCAAGUCCAGGAUGGCCCAUAUCUCUAUGUUGGGGGUAUAGCUCAGUUGGUAGAGCGCCUGCUUUGCAAGCAGGAUGUCAGCGGUUCGAGUCCGCUUACCUCCACUGAUUACCACCUCUUCCAUAAUUUAAAGAAGGGAAAUUUUUGAGUUGUGAUCACAUUCUGAACGAAUCUAGCUUCCUAAUAUUUUUAUUAAGAUGCUGGACUCAUUGAAUUAAUUUUCAUUGUUUUCAGAGAACCUUGACAACUGCAUAGAUUAUUUUUAAAGACAAUAAGCAUCUUUAAUGAUGCAGAUUUAUUAUUUGUGCGAAUGCAUUAAAUAACAAUUCUAUUAAGCUGAUGCUUCAAAUUUUUGAAGUUAUU
rnacentral:tRNA from 1 species